AGUCCUUGGGUAAGCCAUAUUGGUAUCGAAUGCAUACCUGAACUUUUUAAGCACAGUUCCUGACUGAGAACAUAACAAAGACUCCACUGUGCUGUCAUACAGCAAAGGCAAUAAACGUGGAUGGGUUCUUAAGUGGAUGAGUUCUUAAGAGACAAAGACUGGAUUUUCAUGCACAUGUAUUUGACAAUGAAGAAUGAGGAAAGAGAAAUAGAAAAAAGUGACAGCUAAACUUAUGUUGUUCUGAAAUAGACAGUUUUCAAUUUCCUGCAUCAGUUUCUACCUUAAAAUUUUAGGCAAAGACAGAUAUAUCUACUUAAGCUGUAAACAACAGUGGUCCUAACUAGUGCUAGGAAAACCAAUGUGAAAAGAGACAACAAAGUGAUAAGAGGACAGAGUUUACCUGAAUGGUGAUUAGUGCACAGUCAACACAACACUACUAAAUAAAAAAAAAAAAAAGAAAGAAACAGCUUCUCCACAAAAGGAAAAGAGCAAGAACUGAAAAACCAAAGGCUUCCAGAAGGAGAAAAAGCCAGGAGAACUGUAACUGCAUACCCUCUGUAGGGGUGAGAGAGAUUACUUAGACAUGUAACUGUGAUAGUGUGGGCAUUUGCUAAGUAGAUAUGUGUAUUCUCUUGCACAGAAUAAAAAUCUCAGAAGAUAAGCACUUCAGACUGCGUAAAAGACUUGGACACUUUCCCAGAAUUCAGAAGGUCAUAAGCAGAGAAUCUAAAAAACUACAAAGGGUGACAGAAUGGAGCAGCUUCCACUCAGUGCUCCAGGACUGCCUGCCUGGCCCAAAAUAAAAUGAUACACUUUUCUAUAUCAACGCAGCCGUAAAAAAAAAGCAUGCAUGGGCCUGUUAAAAGCGGCAAUAUUUCAGACUUCAGUCACCCACUCACUUCCACACAAUUUCCUGGCUUCUAUGUUUGGCCUCAAACAAGACAUUUGUAGGAGUACAGCCUGAGCAUGCUGAAGACCUGCUUGAAAAAGACCAGCUUGGUUCCAGCUUUAACCAAUCAUUUUCUGAUAAAAGGAGCAACUACAAUUAAUAAUUACCCGAAUACUCAUGUUUACCAAUACAAUUGCUUAACAAAGAUCUGUUGUAAAGCGGAAUUAACGUUUUCUAAAAAGCAAUUACACUGUAAUGUUUUUUGACCUCUUAAGGAAGCACAGCCAUGAAAGAGGCCUAAAAAAGACAUGCACAAAUAUCAAAGGCGGAAGUGAUGGAACCAGCUUCAAAGCCAGUCCAACAGGUAUCUGGACAAGUACAACCUCCCACACACACCCAAAACAUGUGCAGGGAAAAGAUGACUAAAAAUAAUACA